GACGAACGCUGGCGGCGUGCUUAACACAUGCAAGUCGAACGGAAAGGCCCUGCUUGCAGGGUACUCGAGUUGCGAACGGGUGAGUAACACGUGGGUGGUCUGCCCUGCACUUCGGGAUAAGCCUGGGAAACUGGGUCUAAUACCGGAUAGGAGCCAUUUUUAGUGUGAUGGUUGGAAAGUUUUUUCGGUGUAGGGUGAGCUCGCGGCCUAUCAGCUUGUUGGUGGGGUAAUGGCCUACCAAGGCGGCGGCGGGUAGCCGGCCUGCGAGGGUGGACGGCCAUACUGGGACUGAGAUACGGCCCAGACAGCGACGGGAGGCAGCAGUGGGGAAUAUUGAACAAUGGGCGCAAGCCUGAUGAAGAGACGCCGCGUGGGGGAUGACGGUCUUCGGGUUGUAAACUACUUUCGCUAGGGACGAAGCUUUUUGUGACGGUACCUAGAGAAGAAGCACCGGCUAACUACGUG
rnacentral:rRNA from 1 species